rnacentral:rRNA from 1 species
GGAUGCGAUCAUACCAGCAGUAAAGCACCGGAUCCCAUCAGAACUCCGAAGUUAAGCGUGCUUGGGCGAGAGUAGUACUAUGAUGGGUGACCUCCUGGGAAGUCCUCGUGUUUCAUUCC